rnacentral:lncRNA from 1 species
UUUCACCUGCAGACGGAGCCAAGAGUAUACUUCCACGUAAGCCACUGUCAGAAUCGUGCCAGCGGUGAAUCAGGUCGAGUCGACACGUGGACGAAUGGUAACAGUCCGCGUGGUAAGGAGAUAUGACGUGUCGAGAUUCUGUUGCGACUGCAUCCAUUAAAGCCCUCCGCUAUUUUUAAUUUGGAUCUCACCAAACACCCACUAAUUAAAGUGAGAGUCUGGGAGUAC